AUACGUAGGUGGCGAGCGUUGUCCGGAAUUACUGGGUGUAAAGGGCGUGUAGGCGGGGAUGCAAGUCAGAUGUGAAGUACCGAGGCUUAACCUCGGGGCUGCAUCUGAAACUGUGUUUCUCGAGUGUCGGAGAGGAAAGCGGAAUUCCCAGUGUAGCGGUGAAAUGCGUAGAGAUUGGGAGGAACACCAGUGGCGAAGGCGGCUUUCUGGACGACAACUGACGCUGAGGCGCGAAAGCGUGGGGAGCAAACAGGAUUAGAUACCCUGGUAGUCCACGCCGUAAACGAUGGAUACUAGGUGUAGGAGGUAUCGACCCCUUCUGUGCCGGAGUUAACACAAUAAGUAUCCCACCUGGGGAGUACGGCCGCAAGGUUGAA
rnacentral:rRNA from 1 species